AGUCCUGAUCUCUCCGCAGGGCUCUCACCAGCCCGCAGCUUACAGCAGCCUCAGUGUGCCUGCCUGGGAAGCAAGGAACACUACUGAGACCGGGCACCCAUUUUGUUUUGAAGCCAGGGGAGAAGUUUCCCCUGUUACAACCAGGGUAAUCCCGGGGUACCAGCAAGGGCUAUUCUGGAUUGUUAAAAUGACAACCCUUAAGGUAGAGCUUUGGGCUAAAAAUAAGCCUCUCCAUCCAAGCGUCCACAUAAGGCUGUGCUAUGCUCCAUAGCUUAUCUGGUCACAGUGACUUCAGAGGGACUGUGUUGAAGAAUGCAAGAAUUUCCCUCAAAAGUACAAAGAUCCGAUCAAGUUAAGACUAAUCCUGGACCCCAACAUGAUGCCUGAGGAGUUUGGGCUGGACUAUGGCAUUGUACAAAAACGAAACAAAACAAAACAAAACCCAACAGUCCUGCUAACACAGGUUGGAUUUCUGCCUGAGCGAGACCUACUAGCUUUGACACUUGCUUGCAGAUUUAUGCUGGUGAACAUCUCCAAGGAACUCUGUUGA
rnacentral:lncRNA from 1 species